rnacentral:rRNA from 1 species
GACGAACGCUGGCGGCAUGCCUAACACAUGCAAGUCGAACGGUAAGGCUUCCUUCGGGAAGUACACGAGUGGCGAACGGGUGAGUAACACGUGGGUAACCUACCCUUGACUGGGGGAUAACCGAGGGAAACUUCGGCUAAUACCGCAUAACGCGCAUUGCCUCAAGGUGGUGUACCAAAGCUCCGGCGGUUAAGGAUGGGCCCGCGGCAGAUUAGCGUGUUGGUGGGGUAAGGGCUUACCAAGGCGACGAUCUGUAGCUGGUCUGAGAGGACGAUCAGCCACACUGGAACUGAGACACGGUCCAGACUCCUACGGGAGGCAGCAGUGGGGAAGCUUGCGCAAUGGGCGAAAGCCUGACGCAGCAAUGCCGCGUGAGGGAAGACGGCCUUAGGGUUGUAAACCUCUUUCAGCAGGGACGAACACAGACGGUACCUGCAGAAGAAGCCCCGGCUAACUACGUGCCAGCAGCCGCGGUAA